rnacentral:tRNA from 2 species
GGGCCUUUAGCUCAGUCCGGUAGAGCACCGCCCUUGCAAGGCGGGGGCCACGGGUUCAAAUCCCGUCGGGUCCA